UAAAAAAUUUUGGCGGUAUUUUAAGCUUAUUAGAGGAAUUUGCUCUGUGAUGGACACAACGCCUUAAUCUUACUUAAUUUAGUAAUUUAAAUCAGUUUGUAUACCACUAUAUUAAUUAUAUUGAAUAGUUAUAUUUAAAAUUUUCUUAAAAAAAUAUAUUAAGUCAAGGUGCAUCUAAUAAUUAUGAAUGAAGUGAAUUACAUUAAUUUUAAUGUAAUUUUUUACAUGAAAAAAUUAAUUAGGAUUUAAUAGUAAAAUACUAAUAUUAUGAGUAUUUGAAUCAAGCUCUAAAAUAUGCACAUAUCGCCCGUCGCUCUCAGAAGUGAGAUAAGUCGUAACAAAGUAAAAAUACUGGAAAGUGUUUUUUAAAAUGAAAUCAUUCGAUGUUUCAUUUACAAUGAAAAUUUUGUUGUUUAACCAUUUUAA
rnacentral:rRNA from 1 species